rfam:Canis lupus familiaris chromosome 30, whole genome shotgun sequence.
AGCUUUGCGCAGUGGCAGUAUCGUAGCCUAUGAGGUUUAUCCGAGGCGCGAUUAUUGCUAAUUGUUUCCUGAGUUGUUAAUUUUAGCCAUUCUCACUGAUGUGA